GAUGAACGCUGGCGGCGUGCCUAAUACAUGCAAGUCGAGCGAACAGACGAGGAGCUUGCUCCUCUGAUGUUAGCGGCGGACGGGUGAGUAACACGUGGAUAACCUACCUAUAAGACUGGGAUAACUUCGGGAAACCGGAGCUAAUACCGGAUAACAUGUUGAACCGCACGGUUCAACAGUGAAAGACGGUCUUGCUGUCACUUAUAGAUGGAUCCGCGCCGCAUUAGCUAGUUGGUAAGGUAACGGCUUACCAAGGCAACGAUGCGUAGCCGACCUGAGAGGGUGAUCGGCCACACUGGAACUGAGACACGGUCCAGACUCCUACGGGAGGCAGCAGUAGGGAAUCUUCCGCAAUGGGCGAAAGCCUGACGGAGCAACGCCGCGUGAGUGAAGAAGGUCUUCGGAUCGUAAAACUCUGUUAUUAGGGAAGAACAAAUGUGUAAGUAACUAUGCACGUCUUGACGGUACCUAAUCAGAAAGCCACGGCUAACUACGUG
rnacentral:rRNA from 1 species